rnacentral:rRNA from 1 species
UACGGGGGGGGGCAAGCGUUGUUCGGAAUUACUGGGCGUAAAGGGCUCGUAGGCGGCCAACUAAGUCAGACGUGAAAUCCCUCGGCUUAACCGGGGAACUGCGUCUGAUACUGGAUGGCUUGAGUUUUGGGAGAGGGAUGCGGAAUUCCCGGUGUAGCGGUGAAAAUGCGUAGAGAUCGGGAGGAAUACCGGUGGCGAAAAGCGGCUCUCUGGACCGAGACUGACGCUGAGGCGCGAAAAGCGUGGGGGAGCAAACAGG